rnacentral:misc_RNA from 1 species
AACACUGUUAACCUGCGGUACCUGCGGAAGGAUCAUUACCGAGUUUACAACUCCCAAACCCCUGUGAACAUACCUUUAUGUUGCCUCGGCGGAUCAGCCCGCGCCCCGUAAAACGGGACGGCCCGCCGCAGGACCACAAAACUCUGAUUUUAGUGUAACUUCUGAGUCUAAAAAACAAAUAAAUCAAAACUUUUAACAAUGGAUCU